rnacentral:lncRNA from 1 species
CUGACUUCACUUACCAUGAUAAUUUCUAGGUCCAUUCAUGUUGCUAAAAAUGCUGGUAUUUCGUUUCUUUUAAUGGCUGAGUAAUAUUCCAUUGUGUAUAUGUACCACAUCUUUAUCCAUUUCCUCUGUCAAUGGACAUUUAGGUUGUUUUCAUGUCUUGGCUAUUGCAAAUAGUGUUGCAGUGAACAUUGGAGUACAUGUCUUUCAUGUCUUUCAAGUCUUUUCAAGUCAUGGUUUUCUCUGGAUAGAUGCCGAGGAGUGGGAUUGCUGGAUCAAAUGGUAGUUCUAUUUUUAACUUUAUGAGGGCUCUCCAUACUGUUUUCCACAAUGGUUGCACCAAUUUAUAAUCCCACCAACAGUGCAAUAGGGUUCCUUUUUUUCCACACCCUCUCUAGUGCUUAUUGUUUGUAGACUUUUUGAUGAUGGCCAUUCUGGCUGGUGUAAGGUGGUACCUCAUAGUGGUUUUGAUUUGCAUCUCUCUAAUAAUGAGUGAUCUUGAACAUAUUUUCAUGUGUUUUUUUGGCCAUCCGUAUGUCUUCUUUGGAGAAGUGUCUGUUUAGAUCUUCUGCCCAUUUUUCGAUACUACAAAGCAACAGCAGUCAUCAGAACUGUAUGGUACUGGCACAAAGACAGAAAUAUAGAUCAGUGGAACAGGAUAGAAAGCCCAGAAUUAAACCCAUGCACCUAUAGCCAAUUAAUCUAUGACAAAGGAGGCAAGAAUAUACAAUGGAGAAAAGACAGCCUGUUUAAUAAGUGGUGCUGGGAAAACUGGACAGCCACAUGGAAAAGAAUGAAAUUAGAACACUCCCUAACACCAUACACAAAAAUAAACUCAAAAUGGAUUAAGGACCUAGAUAUAAGACCAGACACUAUAAAACUCUUAGAGGAAAACAUAGGCCAAACACUCUCUGACAUAAACGACAGCAACCUCUUCUCAGAUCCACCUCUUAGAGUAAUGACAGUAAAAACAAAAAUAAGCAAAUGGGACUUAAUUAAACUGAAAAAUUUCUGCAAGCAAAGGAAACCCUAAACAAAAUGAAAAGACAACCCACAGAAUGGAGAAAAUAUUUGCAAAUGAAUCGACCAACAAGGGAUUAAUCUCCAAAAUAUGAAUAUUUAAAUACAUAAAAAAUUAAUGUGUAAAAAUAGGGAAAUUAGCACUUGAGUAUCCUGUUUUGGUCCCUUGCUUAGUAUUUUUCAUAAAUUAUCCAGAUAUUUCUGGGCAGCAGGAAUAGCAUGUGCAAAAGCUUGAGAAUAUGGAAGAGUGCAGUGUGUUUGCAGGCUUCUAGGAAUUAACAGGAUUAGUGGGAUGAAGUGGGAAAUGAUAGGUUAAGGAUGGUUUUUAAGGGUCUUUUAGAUUGUGUUAAGAAUCUUGAAUCUUAUCCAUGCAACUCUAAAGGACUGUAGAAGAGUGAUUGACUUCAAUAUUUGGUUUGUAGUUUACAUUAGUUUUAAAAACCCACAGCAGAGUUCCUGUUGUGGCUCAGUGGCAAUGAACCCAGCUAGGAACCAUGACGUGGGUUCCAUCCCUGGCCUCAUUCAUUGGGUUAAGAAUCUGGUGUUGCGGAUUCAGUGUAGGUCACCAGUGUGGCUCAGAUCUGGCAUUGGUGUGGCUAUGGCAUAGGCUGGCAGCUGAAGCUCCAAUUCAACCCCUAGCCUGGGAACUUCCAUGUGCCGAAGGUGCGCCCCUAAAAAGCAGAAAACGAAAACAAACGAAGAAAACCACAAAGAUAGCCAAGGAUCGAACCUUUGUCCUCAUGAAUACCAGUCGGGUCUAUUACUGCUCAGGCACAACAGGAACUCCUAUUCUUAGAAAUUCUUAUCACGUGAACUGCAACACCUUCCAAGAACUAUAGCUCUGACAUAUAAAUAUUUUACAAAUAACAGUGCUAAGAAAAAUAAAGUCGCUUUCUGACAAUCUUUCUAAAAUGUUUUGAACUUCCUUUGUUGCUGUAUUCUUUACUAUUUAAUUCUUAAAGUAAUGUUUCUGUUACUGUAAUUACUGCAUAAUUUUUUGUGUUAACUUUGCCAACUUUACACUUAACAUACACUUUACAGUAAAUGUUCUGAUAGUCCCUUACUGCUGCAGGUCAAUGGAAAAUGUUGUAUUUAAAUAUAUGUUGUGUCUUAAUAACAUCUGCUUCUGUCAUGUUCCUCUAACAAAGAGCUUCUGUUCUAAUCACUUAGUACCUUAGAGAAUUAUUGAGAUGGAAAAAUAAUAGACUGAUGCUUUUUUCCUAACAUUUCUCUGAAGUUCUGAUUGUACAGCUUAACCUAUAUGUUGCAUGAAAGCAUUGCUGCAGAAGCAUUCACAUUUUCUCCUUAUAAACUGAUAGCUUUAAAAUAGUUAAAUGAGUUUAGCACCUUUCUCAGUGUUCCAUUAGCAUUGAAAUACUAAAAGGAAUAGAAUGAGCAGUGAUUCUAACACUUCAGACUAGUACUGAGUUAGUUGAUGUGAUUGACUUGUUUUCCAGGACUGAGGUCUUAAAAUUCCUUAUUAAAUCAUACUUGCAUAUCAUUUAGAUUAGCAGUUACCACUUGUGAUUACUCUUGAUGAUCCUUUGGGGCUUUUCAGUUCCUCUAGCACAAAACUCUUAACUUUGGAUUCAUGAAACCCACCUCACAAGGAUCUUCAGAACCCAAGAAAAGCAUAUGAAAAACUUUGUCGUGUCUAUGCAAUUGUUUUUCUAGAAAGAGAGUUUAUUGCUUUUAUUUAGGUUCCAAAAAGGGACCAUAACAUUAGUGAUUAAAAAUCAGUGCUAAAAAAUGUGGUCUGGCAAGUUGUCGUGAUAGAGCUAUGAAUUGAAUUGUACUAGCUAUACCAAUUGUUAAAAAUCAUACAUGUUAAUUUUCUGCCCUCACUUUGAAGUUUACAUUAAUUUAAAAAUUUUUUACAUUGAAAUAUAAUUGAUUUACAAUGUGUACAGCAAGGUGAUUCAGUUUUAUGUAUAUAUAUGUAUAUUCUUUUUUAGAUUCAUUUGCAUUAUAGGUUAUUAUAAGAUGUUGACUAUAGUUCCUUGUGCUAUUCAGUAAAUCCUUGUUGUUUAUUUUAUAUAUAUAAUAGUACAUAUCAGCUAAUCCCAAAUUCCCAGUAAUACUUCUCUUUCUCUGUCUGAUUUACUUCACUUAAUAUGAAGUUUAUAGUAAUUUUUAUAUAUCUUGACAGAUUUUAUAUGAAACAAAGAAAAAGUCACAGAAUAAUUGAAUAGAAGCUCUUUAUUUUAAUUCUUUAUUCUUCUUCUCUGCCUCUUCCAAAACAGAUUUGUAUUAUCUAUUAAUUAUUUUAUGAGACAGAGGGGCCUUCAGUAAGUCACUUUACCUCUGUUUAUUCAUUUCCUCAUCUUGUUUAAAAGUAGGUAACACCAGAUUUACUACCUUAUAAGGUUGUUUGUAAAACUCAAAUGAGAUUUUGACUGUGAACAAACAUUUAAAAUCAUAUAAUAUCAUGUUUAUGCAAGGUAAAUAUGUCACAUGCCGAACAGACCAGCUGUAGUAAAAAUUUUAUAUUUUGUCAGUAUAUAGUUAACUCCAUAAAAUUGCUAAUAAUCUGCAUAAUUCACAAGUAAAAAGAAAGAACAUAUAAAUAAGAUCAUGAAACAUCUUUUUUCUAAGAUAUUAAAUCUGUGAAAAUAAGUUUCAGUCUCAACCAGCUGUCUUUAAAGGUAUAUUUUAUGGGGUUAUGCCAAAAGUUAUUAAUAUAACUUUGAAUAAAUAUAAAACAUGUUUUAACUUUUAACAUGAGCUUUGUCAGAAGAAUUGUUUAUAGCAAAAUAUCCCUAUUUGAAAUAAAAGGGAUGCAUCUAUAAUUUGUGUACUGUCUUAUAGUCUGUUGAUAAUCAGUAUCCCUAGUGGUAGAUUCUGCAUGUAUCUAUAGGGAAU